rnacentral:rRNA from 1 species
UAGACUUGACAUGUAGCAGACCGGCACGGAAACGUGCUUUCCCGAAAGGGCUGCUAACAC